GACGAACGCUGGCGGCGUGCUUAACACAUGCAAGUCGAACGAUGAAGCCGGAGCUUGCUCUGGUGAAUUAGUGGCGAACGGGUGAGUAACACGUGAGUAACCUGCCCUUGACUCUGGGAUAACUGCUAGAAAUGGUAGCUAAUACCGGAUACGACCCUCGGCGGCAUCGCCAGGGGGUGGAAAGAAUUUCGGUCAAGGAUGGACUCGCGGCCUAACAGCUAGUUGGUGAGGUAACGGCUCACCAAGGCGACGACGGGUAGCCGGCCUGAGAGGGUGACCGGCCACACUGGGACUGAGACACGGCCCAGACUCCUACGGGAGGCAGCAGUGGGGAAUAUUGCACAAUGGGCGCAAGCCUGAUGCAGCAACGCCGCGUGAGGGAUGACGGCCUUCGGGUUGUAAACCUCUUUUAGUAGGGAAGAAGCGAAGGUGACGGUACCUGCAGAAAAAGCACCGGCUAACUACGUGCCAGCCGCCGCUGUAACAC
rnacentral:rRNA from 1 species